UGGGGAAUAUUGGACAAUGGGCGAAAGCCUGAUCCAGCCAUGCCGCGUGUGUGAAGAAGGUCUUCGGAUUGUAAAGCACUUUAAGUUGGGAGGAAGGGCAGUAAGCGAAUACCUUGCUGUUUUGACGUUACCGACAGAAUAAGCACCGGCUAACUCUGUGCCAGCAGCCGCGGUAAUACAGAGGGUGCAAGCGUUAAUCGGAAUUACUGGGCGUAAAGCGCGCGUAGGUGGUUUGUUAAGUUGGAUGUGAAAGCCCCGGGCUCAACCUGGGAACUGCAUUCAAAACUGACAAGCUAGAGUAUGGUAGAGGGUGGUGGAAUUUCCUGUGUAGCGGUGAAAUGCGUAGAUAUAGGAAGGAACACCAGUUGCGAAGGCGACCACCUGGACUGAUACUGACACUGAGGUGCGAAAGCGUGGGGAGCAAACA
rnacentral:rRNA from 1 species